AUGGGUGGAAUGAUUGAAUACGGCGUUAGUGUCAGUACCAAGUCUUCACCACGCAGUGUGGCCAUUGAAAAAGCUCAGGAGGAGCUCAGGCAGGAGUAUGAUGUCCGUGAAGAACGGAGGAGGGAGCUGGAAUUUCUGGAGAAAGGUGGCAACCCAUUAGAUUUCAAGGUUGACCGUGUAGAAUCAAUAAGUGUGCAGUCCACUUCUCUCACAGCGGAACAAAAUGUGAUAAGCGAAGCUAAAGGCAGCUUUACGUUUGCUGCAUCACCUCGUGGGGAUUCAGUUGAGAGUAGUGGCAAACCAGGAAGUUCACUGUGUCGCGAAACCAACACAGCAGAUAAUCUUAUGCUUUUUGGUGGUAAUAACAAUGGCGUUGUGAAGGAGAAAGUUGUAAAGAGAGGAUCCAGAAGAGCUAAUGUAGCUCAACCCAGACAGUCUUCUGAGGGCCACAACAAUGUAAAAAGAGCUGAUGAUUCUGGUUUGUCACGCCUUGGAGUGAAGAGCCAGGCAUAUGUUCGACGCAACAGGUCAAAGCAAUGUAGGGAGAGUGCUAACGUGACUUCUGUUACAUCUCCUGUACCUGCUACAGCUUCGGAACCAAAAGAUGCAAGGGGUGUGGUCAAGGAAAAACGAGCAGAUGAUCUUGGUGUAUCCUAUGGUUCAAAUUUAAACCAGGCAGGGCCAAAGUGCGACAAUGGGCCGAAUAAAGCUUCUGACAAACAUGUUACAAUUGAGUUGAAUGGGAUUCAAGCCGUCCGCAAAGGCCACCGCAUAGUAAAGAUCGAACCGGUGGAAUAUGACGAAAUGGUGCCCAAUUAUGUGAAUCGCAAUCAGCAGCCUGAUGAACGUGGGAAGAUAGCUGAAGAAGGUGCAUCAAUAGAACCCCCUGAUGCUACUUCAAAAGCCAUUCUAAGGUCAUCUUAUUCUAGCGCAUACACACAUGAUAAAACAGAAACAUGUGCUGCUGCUGAGAAGGUUGGCAAUAAUCACCUGGAUGAAGGUAUGGCCCAAGUCCAUGUAGGUGAACUGGAUAACAGCAGUAUGAUUCCUGUCUCUGUUGUCCAAGCUGCCACUUUGCACAAAAAUGUGACAGAUCCAUGUUGUGAAGACAUUGCCAGUACUAUUGACAAUGGAGCAGAUGAUAAUAAUCCAGUUCCAAUGAAUAUUGAUGGAAAAUCGCAUGAAGACCCGGACAUCAGUGGUAUUUCUAGCAAGGCUGGUGGACAACCGGAAGAUUCUAGCAGGCCUACUUCCAUGAUUGGAAAUUCUAGUCCUGUACCACCUGAAGUUAGUACUCGUGCCCGUGUGAAAGUUGAAAUGGAAACUUUUGAUGAUGCAAUGAUUGUACAGAAGGAUACAAGCUGCUCAUAUCCAGGACAAAUUGUGAACAAUAAUGGAGGUCCAGGUUUGGAGAGGAUUGACAGUUGUCAUGGGGAUUCUAACUCCGCCCGUCCUAUCGUUAUAGGCUCUGCUACUUUGGUUGAUUCUACACCAUCAUUAAAAACUGAUGGGUCGAAGGCGGAGAGUGAGAUUCGAAAAAAUGGAGAGAGCGUCAAUAAGAUGACAGACAAGGAACACGAAGAUUCUAUCCUUCGAGAAGCUCGUCUUAUAGAGGUGAGUCUCAAGAGAGCUUGUGAACGAUCUCCAUGUAAUAUAUCUUUAGAAAGGAGGAGAAAGGGUCACUGGGAUUUUGUCCUCGAGGAGAUGGCUUGGAUGGCCAAUGAUUUCAUGCAGGAACGCCUAUGGAGAAUUACGGCUGCAUCUCAAGUGUGCCAUUGGAUUGCCUCCGAUGGUCUGGCCAAGUUUGACAAAGCAAGCAUUCUUAGAAAGCAGAAAACUGUCAGUAGAAUUCUUGCAAAGGGUGUCAUGAGUUUUUGGCGUUCAGCUGAGGCUGUCCUAACUACUGUUGGAACAGCUAAAGUGAUGCAAAAAAAUAAUUCAAAUAUGCUAGGAGAGACAAAGCCUACUGGAACCAAAGCUGAGAAACAACAGGGCAAUGAAAGCCUGGAAGCGGAACAGUCUAUACAUCCUCUUCGAUCUCAUAUUCAAGAUUAUGCAGUUCGAUUUCUUGAAUAUAGCAAUCAGGCUUCUGAUUCUGCUGUGUUGACUGAAGCACCACCUACACCUGACAGGCCGAAUGACUUCGGCAUCUUGAAAGUGUCUGAUCAAUUUUCACAGGGAAGUCUCUUCUACACAGUACCACCUGGUGCAAUGCUGGCAUACAGGGAGUCCAUGGAAUCUCUUUUCAUGUAUCAUAAGAAAAUUGGCAACGCUGGACUUCGUUAUGAUUAUGAGGCAUCUGCUGCAGGGUGGGCUCAGGAUAAUGUCUACGAGGAUGAAGGCGAGGCUUCUACUUAUUUGUCACAAAAGGGUCACAAGAAGAAACACAGUAUGCAGCAGAGGAUUAAUGGUUCAAGACCAUAUGAAACUGACGUGUCUUAUGAUCCGCGCUUGGAAAGCAAGGCAGGAAACCGGCAGUUUGUUUCAAAUGGCAAAAGACCUUCAUCUUUUGUUGGAGUUCCUACAAAGCGCAUCCGCACAGCCGCCAGACAACGAGUUGUAAGCCCAUUUCCUGCUAGUGCUGGUGGGACUGCCCAAGUCACAAGUAAAACAGAUGUUUCAAGUGGAGACACAAACUCCUACCAAGAUGAUCAAAGUCCAUUACAUGGUGGGUCCUCCGCAUGGAAAAAUAUGGAAUAUGAAUCAACAGGUGAUUUUGACAGACAUGAUGGUAGCGAAGCAUGGACUAAAGCUAACAAGAAGAAGAAACAAAAGAACCCAGGAUACAAGACUGCUCAAAAUACAGCCAAUUCACGUGCCGCUGCUGUAAAGGGACGGGUCUACGAUCAGAGAUCGCAAGUUAAUCAAUAUGAGCAGAAGGAUUAUCUGAAGAAGAGACCAGAGACCCAACAAUUUUAUUCAAAUGGAACAAUUGUUGCAAAUGGUGGUCAACAUGCUUCUAAGAAGCUUAAAACGAUGAAGCAAGGGAUAUAUAUUAAACAAGAACCUUCUCAAGUUCCAUCACAGAUGAGCAAUAUGGCGCCUGCCAAUAAAAUUAUAAAGAUCAUCACUAACAAGGAUCGUGGGAGAAAAGUGAAAGCGCUAAAGAUGUCUUCUGGUGGUGGAUGGUCAAACUUCGAGGAUCAGGCUCUUGUUGUCCUUGUCCAUGACUUGGGUCAAAAUUGGGAAUUAGUAAGCGACGCAAUCAAUAACAUUGUGCAGUUCAAGUCUAUACAUAGACAACCUAAAGAAUGUAAAGAGCGCCAUAGGGUUCUUGUGGAUAAAAGUUCUGGUGAUGGUGCUGACAGUGCAGAAGACUCUGGUUCAUCUCAACAGUAUCAUUUCACCAUACCUGGCAUUCCACAGGGUAGUGCCAGGCAGUUGUUCCAGCGACUUCAAGGACCAUUUGAGGAAGAGAAUCUGAAGUCACAUUUUGAAAAAAUUAUGCUCCUCAUGCCAAAAGUGCUAUCCAGGCGUAGACAGGUUAAUAGCCGGGAGCUGAAGCCGAUCGUACUACCACAUAGUUCUCAUGUUGUUGCACUUACACAAGCAUGCCCGAACAACUUAUCUGGGGGCAUUUUGAUGCCACUUGAUCUUUGUGAUGUAAAUCUGAGCCUCGAUGCAGUCACACCUGGCAGCGGGAACCAGAUUUCUCAUGCAAACGGAAUGACACUGUCAAACCAACAUGGUUCUGCUGGUCCUACUACCACUCCUACUCCCAAUCCAAAUUCGAGGUUACCAGGGUCUCCUGGUAUGGUUCUGGGCAGCAACUUUUCGCCACCUUCAACACUGAGUGCUCCUUCUAGGGAUUCUCAGAAAUAUGGUGUUCCUAGACCAGCCUCUAUACAGGGUGAUGAGCAACAAAAGAUUCAGUAUAAUCAAAUGCUCAGUGGUAGAAAUCUUCAGCAACCUGGAGCUGUUCCUGCAACAAGUCCUUGUGCUCGUAUGAUGCCUGGUGCUCAUGGUGUUGGAAUGAUGACAGGGGUAAAUCGAGGUAUGCCUGCAGUCAGGGCAGGCUUUCCAAGAGCUGGUUCCCCAGGAAUGCUGAAUAUGGCAUCGACAGGAAACAUGCCACUCAAAAGUGUGCAAGGAGUGCCAAAUGCCAUGUCUCCCGCUGGAAAUUCUAUGAUGAGGCCACGCGAUCCUAUGCAGAUGCUUCGUCCUGGUCAGCAGCAGCAUAUGGUGAGGCCGGAGCACCACAUGCAGGUUUCACAGGGAAAUAGUCAAGCUGCCCAUUUCAGCAGCAUGAAUCCAUCAUUCUCCAAGGCUGCAGCUCCUUCACCUCUUCAGCAAACCCAAAGGCCACAUCAGAUGUCACAACCACUGAACAUGUCGGGUAACCCGCAUCUUUCUCAGACCCAAGGAACCAGCCAUCCAAGCCCACAGCAGCAGCCAUAUUCUACUAUGCCUAUGCAGCUGGCUAAGGAAAGACAAUAUCAACACCGUUUGGUGUCUCAACAGCACAACAGCCUUCCUGUAGCAGGCGUGGUACCUGGUGUGCAGAACGGACCGCAGAUUCAGCAGCAGAACCAUGCAUCUCCGGUCACUUCAACCCCUUCUUCGCAACCACUAGUGCAUCAGAAGCAGCAGUCUGCACAAAGCCCAACAGAUAGCUCUGCAAUUGCCAGCCGACCUGCCAAUGCUACAGAACCUAAGCAGAAGAAGCAGCAGGGUCAACAGCAGCCUAGGCAGAAUCAACAACAGAGGAACCAAGCUAGUCAACAAGCUAAGCUUAUGAAGAGUCUAGGACGAGGAAAUAGCACGGUGGCGCCUCAGACUCCUGCAGCUGACGCAACUCCAGCCAGUGCUGUUCCUACAGCUUCCAAGAAACAAGUUCCUGACAGAAAUCUGAUGCAACAUGGGCAAGGACCCUCGGCUGGUAAUAAAGCGGCAACUUCAGUUACACCUCAGCCUGGGAAUCAACAUAAGCUAUAUGCCUCGGUGCAGCAGCCUCCAAAUAUCGGUAACCAAGGAUUGGUGCAGGGUCCUCCUAGUCACACCGUCUUCGCUGCACAACCGCCCCCACUCCAUUCCAGGUACCCGGUGAGCACGCAGCAGCGGCCGAUGAUUCCAGCACAGAACAACAUCCAGAGAAUGAUGAUGCAACAAAGCCUCCAAAUGAAGCCCGACUCACAGAUGGACCAAGUCCAACACAGCCAGGCGAUUCCAGCUACACCUACAUCUCACAGUUCAGAGGCAGGCAGCCCUGGGCUUUCAGUGCAUGACCCAGCUGCAGUCACAUCGACGUCUAAGCCGAUCGGCUCCCCCAAGGACAAUUUUGCCGGGAACGAAACUUCAGUGCCAUUGUCGUCUAGCCAAAGCAUGCUGCAGAGGCAAAUUUCAGGUGGAGCAUCAUCCAGCCAAGGCAUGCUGCAGAGGCAGAUUUCAGGGGGAACAUCAUCCAGCCAAGGCAUGCUGCAGAGGCAGAUUUCGGGCGGGUUGCUGCCUGUGCAUGGACAAGAGGUGGGCGGCUCGUGGCACCACCAGCAACUGUCUAGGCCGCACCUGCCUCCUCCGCAUCAUCAGCAGCAGCCGCAGCAUCAGCUCCAGCAGAGACCAGUUGGUCCAGGCAGCAUGUAUGCUCCCCCAAACCCAGGGUCAGGUGCUGCGGGCGGCAUGUAUGCUCCCCCGAAUCCAGGGCCGGGCUGA
rnacentral:rRNA from 1 species